rnacentral:rRNA from 1 species
CUUUACAGCCACACCACCCUGAAAGUACCCCAUUUCAUUUGAUCAUAGAAGCUAAGCAGGAUAGGGCCUGAUUAGCCCUUCAAUGGGAGCUUAAGAAAAGAAUGUGGGCAAAGGGCAGAGAGAUGUCAAGA